ACGUGAACCUGCGGAAGGAUCAUUGA
rnacentral:rRNA from 1 species